AUAGGAAAAAAUUUAAAAACUUUUUUGAAAAACAAAAAUAAAACCCUGAAAACUUGAAAAGAAAUUCUGAAGAUUUUGAAAAAAAAAAAAAACACUGAAAACUCUAAAGAAAUCUGGAAAAUUUGAAAAAAAAAUGGAAAAAAAAAAAAACUUUUUUGAAAAACAAAAAUAAAACCCUGAAAACUUGAAAAGAAAUUCUGAAAAUUUUGAAAAAAAACACUGAAAGCUCUAAAGAAAUCUGGAAAAUUUGAAAAAAAAAAAAUGGAAAAAAUAAAAAAAAAAACUUUUUUGAAAAACAAAAAUAAAACCCUGAAAACUUGAAAAGAAAUUAUGAAAAUUUGAAAAAAAAAUUUUGGAGUGGAAAAUUUGAAAAUAAAAUGAUUCUAUUAAUCUUCACUUCCAGUUGUCUGUUUUCAGUUUCAAUUCAGAUUUUUGAGUUUUCACUGCUGAGCAGAGCCUAAUUUUACAUGGGGGCGGCUAUGAGCUUUUGAGCAUUUUUUUCACAUUUUCAAGAUUUAUUUAGAGUUUUUAUCUUUUUUUUUUUUUUCCAAAUAAAUUCAAUUUUUUUUAGUUACACUGUCUCGUUUAGUAUUUUCGUUUAGGCUGAUCCUGAUUCGACCCGUCAAAAGAUUUGAACGAACUGCCAAACGUCCGGCCGACAGCAUCACAGCUGAAGCCCGUUUGCGAUGAAGAUGGUCUCCUCAGCAGAAUUUGGUCUGUUGCUGCGGGGAACUGCCCCGCGCACAGUCACCGCCAUCCGCGCAGAGAAGAUGAGCAGAUCGAUGCCGUCCAUUUGUCAGCGCCAUGACCGCUCUGAGUAACAAACUUUUGAGAGGAUUCUCAUCUCUGGGCUGACCUCACCUCCGUGUGUAGGUGCAUCAAUGUGCUUCACUUUCAUCUUAUUAUUUUUUAGAAAAAUGGCGAAAACAAAAUACUUUUUAUAAUUCUAAAAAGGUUAAAAGGUUGUUUUUCAAAAUAAAGCUACAUGUUUUCCAAGAACGAUCUUGCAUUUUUCACUUAGAUUAAAAGAGAUCUUAAUAAAAAAAAGUCUCCUCAAAUUGAUGAAUUUAAUAGCUUUAAUAACAUUUUAAGAAUAAAAUAUGUUUUUUACUGUUCAGUACUUGAAAAGUCAAAAUGGUUUAAUUAUAAAAAGUCAAAAAAUUAAAAGAGCUGUUUUAAAAUUAAAAGCAUCUUAAAAUGAGUUUGGAAAUAACUUUUGCACAGAAACUAAGAAUUUUAUGCUAUAAUACCAUUUAUUUCUGUUGUUUUAUAACUAUUUGCCAUUGAUUUACACAUCACAUUUUACUUUUUGAUUAAGUUUUUGACAUUUUGACUUUAAAGCUGCAAAUAUAAGAUACAAUUUAUUGAUCUAUAGUCUUCUAAACUAGUAUGAAACAAAGAAAAUGUGAAACAACAUAAUGUUUAUUGUAAUUCAGUCACUGUAAGUGAAAGUAAUUCAGACGGAUCAAAAACUGAAGCUGCACUUUUCAGCGCUGUCACUCAUUCACCCUGAAAUCCUGGAAAUGAUCUUAAAUCUACAGCAGAGGGGGGUCAAAGUCAGUCACACAGGGGCCAAAAUCCAAAACACACCUGAGGUUGCGGGCCGAACAGGAAAAACAUUUACUGAACACUCUAAAAUUAAAUUUUAACAACUUUGAAGCUAACUUUUUAACAUAUUUAUGAACUAGAUCAAUGGCAUUACCUGUGAUGAUGUUAGUUUGAUUGCUGUAAGCUGAAUUUGGGCGAUGAAGAUGCCGAAAUUGUUAGCUAAAAACGCUGAAAGCUAUCUAAAAUAUUAGCUAAAUGCUGAAUUAGCCCAAAGAAAAAAAACUUAGGUUGGCCAAAACAGCUAGCUGCUAGCAUUUAGCUGAAAUAUUAGCUAAACUUCAAAAUAUCCCCCAAAAAAACUGAAAAAAGCCUAAAUUAGCAAAAACAGCUAGCGUGUAAAUAUUAGCCUAAUUCGAAAAUAGCCUAAAAAAAUGUAAAAAGAAAAGCUUAAAUUAGCCAAAACAGCUAGCAUGUAGCUGAAAUAUUAGCUAAACUCCAAAAUGGUCUACAAAUUAUUAGUAAAUGUCAAAAUAGUUUAAAAAAAUUGUAUACUGCCAAUUUUUAAAGCUUUAAAACAUAACUUUUUAACAUAAUUACGAAUAAUAAAAAGGCAGGAUUAUUAUUACUGAAUAAAUCAACUUAAACCUUAAAUAAUUAUCCAGAUUUUUUUUCUUCAUAAAAAUGAAUUUUGUCAAAAUUAUACAAGUUAGAAAUGAGAACAAGGUAACAUCGGGCCAUUUAUAAGAAUAAAAUAAAAUAAAAAGAUCUGGAGGGCCGGAUAAAAUUCGGAUUCUGCCUCUGCGCCUUGACUUUGACACGCGUGCUCUGGGGUUUCUCUAGAGCACACGUGACUUCUCUUCAGGUUUCCUCAAACAUGAAAAGAAGUCAAAUCAGAGGAGCAUCUCUGUCUGAUUCACUGUCACUCGUCUCCAUGUGACUCAACAAAUGUUGUGAUCUGGCGCCCUCUGCUGACAAAAUGAAGUAAAGCAAUGAGGUUGCAUUCUCUUAAAAAAACACAAAUGAAUCAAAUAUUUGCCCAAAUUAAAACAUAUUAAUUGUGUCUCUUGUAAGCUGAUAUGUUGCAAAUGAAACGACAUGAA
rnacentral:lncRNA from 1 species